UGCCUAACACAUGCAAGUCGAACGAACCCUUCGGGGUUAGUGGCGCACGGGUGCGUAACGCGUGGGUAACCUGCCCUUAGGUUCGGAAUAACUCAAAGAAAUUUGAGCUAAUACCGGAUAAUGUCUUCGGACCAAAGAUUUAUCGCCUUUGGAUGGGCCCGCGUAGGAUUAGGUAGUUGGUGGGGUAAAGGCCUACCAAGCCGACGAUCCUUAGCUGGUCUGAGAGGAUGAUCAGCCACACUGGGACUGAGACACGGCCCAGACUCCUACGGGAGGCAGCAGUGGGGAAUAUUGGACAAUGGGCGAAAGCCUGAUCCAGCAAUGCCGCGUGAGUGAUGAAGGCCUUAGGGUUGUAAAGCUCUUUUACCAGGGAUGAUAAUGACAGUACCUGGAGAAUAAGCUCCGGCUAACUCCGUGCCAGCAGCCGCGGUAAUACGGAGGGAGCUAGCGUUGUUCGGAAUUACUGGGCGUAAAGCGCGCGUAGGCGGC
rnacentral:rRNA from 1 species